AGUGAACGCUGGCGGCGUGCCUAAUACAUGCAAGUCGAACGAAGUGGCGCACGGGUGAGUAAUAUAUAGUUAAUCAGCUCUAUACAGAGGAACAACAGUUGGAAACGACUGCUAAUACCUCAUAGUGCAGGAAGAGACUAUAUCGUAUCAGCAAGUUGGUAAGGUAAUGGCUUACCAAGGGUAUGACGCGUAACUGGUCUGAGAGGAUGAUCAGUCACCUUCGAACUGAGGCACGAGUCAGGCUCCUACGGGAAGGAGCAGUAAGGGAAAUUACGCAAUGGGUGAGACCCUGACGCGGCAUCGCCGCGUAAAGGAUGACACUUUUCGGAGCGUAAACUCCUUUGAACAGGAAAGCGGUACCUAAUGAAAAAGCACCGGCUAACUCCGUGCCAGCAGCCGCGGUAAUAC
rnacentral:rRNA from 1 species